ACACAUAGCCGUCGAAUUAUCAAAGCCCCACGUUUCUCGAGGAGUGAGUGAUCAUGCUGAAAGCUGUGAACAAGGAAAACAACUAGCUGCCGGAAGUGUUGCGGAUCUUCAGCUAUGCAUGCGUGCACCUCAAGAACCAGGAGCACUACCUCAUCGGAGGGAUCCGAUAGCGCCCUUAGGAGAGUGUCAAAGACAUCAUUCAGAAAAACCAAGACCUCGGACCGAUGUCCAUUAAGCAGGGUCCACAUCCAAUGUAAUGAUUCAAUACG
rnacentral:misc_RNA from 1 species